rnacentral:rRNA from 1 species
AUGGCCCACAUAUCAGAUAUUAAACUGAUAAGAACAGAUACUACACUUGAUCUUAGCCAAAAGGCCGAGAAAGGUAUGCUUCUCCCCGUCGCCCUGGGUCUGCUUAUAUAG